rnacentral:piRNA from 1 species
UGAAAAGGAAUCUGGAUGGCUGUUAAGG